CUAUAAAUAAGGCAAAGUAACAGCAAAUAUCCUCAAGUUUCCUGUCUUGUGUGACCACAGGUGUUUAUGCAAGCUUUAAGAGAUUUCACUUUGCCUAAAAUGUUGACAGAUGAUAACCCAAUUUUCAUGGGCCUAACCAGUGACCUGUUUCAAGUUCUGGAUGUCCUGAGAAAGAAGAACCUGCAAUUUGAACAGAUGGCUGAACAAUCUACCCUAGAGUUUCACUUGUAGCCUGAAGAGAUCUUAAUUCUCAAGAAAAUUAGAAUGACUGCAGACACAGACAGCCUUUUUUCUUCAAAUCUUAUCAUCUACCUACAACUAUGAUGAGGUUCUUUAUUUCCGUCUUGUCCUCUAGCGUAUCUUCCUUUUUCAUCUGCACAGAAUCAAAAACAUCUACGGCAAGUCAAAACUGCAGUGGAACAAGGUAUUCAGGUGUCACUACGCAAGUGCCACUCCCACUGCCUACGAGAACUCUUGAACGUGUUGCCCUUUAAAAAAAAAAUAAAGGUAGAUGUUGCCAGUUUGUGCAUCAAGACCGGUGCCAAGAACAUGCCCACAGUGUUUUUGCUGACAGAUGCCCAAGUUCCAGAUGAACGCUUUCUUGUGCUGAUUAAUGACUUGUUGGCAUCAGGUAUUUGUAGGGGAAGCCUUUAGAGAAGCUAAAUCAACCCAGCCAGCUUGAGCACAGAGUCUAACUUGCUUAACAAAACACAGAGGAGACAAAUUGCUAAGGCUUAUCAUGCGAGAUGUUCCUGAUAUGUUCACUGAUGAAGAUGUGGAGGGCAAAGUUGCAGGAGUCAGAAGAGUCAGAAAAGAAGUCCCUGAUCUGGGCUUGAUGAACACCACUUUCUAGCUGAUGGAGGUUCUUCUUUGGUUGAAUGCAGUAGUUGUUAAAGGUAGAAGAUCUAAACUUCAAACUUGCUUCACAAGAGGCAGAACUGCAACUGAAAAAUCAAGAUGCUGAAGCUUUGAUCGCUAAGAUAGGAUUUCAGACUGAGAAAGUGAGCCAAGAAAAGGCCAUUGUCAAAGCAGAGGAGCAAAAGUUUGUGUGCUUUGAAUGCUUCCAGCCAGAGAGAUUCACAGAGGAAGAUGCAUGUACCAUUGCCUUUUAAGAUGGGAACACUCCCAGAAGAAGAAAUAAAACAGAGCAGGUUGCAGAAAAGUGAGCUUGUCCUACAUUUGAUUUGAGCAUCAGCACACA
ensembl:lncRNA